GGAACCGGAGCGCUGAGGCACUGCGGGUAGCGCAGCGCUGCGUGCCCUUCUGCAGAGGAGUUCCUCAGCACGUGCUGCUCCUUGGAAAUGCGGAGUAACGCCAUAAGACGGCCCUGUCUUUUGGCUAGCUGUGGUGCACGUUAAACCACGCCGUGUAUUACAGUGUCCUUUCGUUGUGUCAUCUUAGGGGCAAGCGUGAUCAGGACUGGUGUGCAUGUGCCCUUAUGUACCUAACACGGCAUCUCACGGCCAGCUCUAGAUCACUGCCAAAAAACGUACUGUGUACUGCAGUGUACAGAACUCCUUGGAUCUUCUGUGUUUUUUGGGCACAAGUUUCAACAUUCUCCUCGUUGUAAAUAAUGCUGACAGACAACAUGCAAUUUCCUCAGUUUCCACGGGCUGAAACAACCAGAGUUUCUGAAAUUCACUUUCCCUCACGUGAAGCUGGAAAUCAAGGGGUGUAGCACACUGUGCGCCUUUAAUGAGCUUUCCAACUAAAAAUACGUUUAGCAAAAGAGUGAUAUAUUUCCAAAAAUACAAUUUUUUAGUUGCUCCUAAAGGGCUUCUGCCAUUUCUGGACUCACAAAAGGUGCUUUUGUGAGCUGUGAGCAGCUUGGAAAACUCAGCCAAGAGAGCCCCUGGACUGCUCAUCAGGCUGCUGAAACCCACUGGGUCUUCCAUACUAUCUUGCCAAAAAGGAAUCCUGAGGGUAUUUUACUUCUGAGUCUCAUAAAUUAAGACUUAAGCAAUCAGAUACAUAAAGCAUUUGUAAUGCUUCCAACUUGGUCCUUGGUGAUGACACCAGGGGCAGCUUAACUUCAGUGUGAUACACACCUUGAAGAUCUUUUCCACCUGGACCUGAUGGCUCCACGCAAUAAAGAGGUUGAUGCUGACAUGCUGGAAAGAGGAAGCGCCCACAUGGGAGACACUGUAAGGGCAGCUCUGAGUGACUGAACCCUGAAACAGCCGUACUGUGCAUCAGGCAAGAAGAAUCAGACCAGACAGUUCAGACUACACAAACACUCCUGGUUUACCCAAGCCUUUGGAUACCUACAAAGAAAGCAUACAGACAAGAACAUAUCCUGAGCUUGUGACUGCUGAAGCAAUCCAAAGAUAAAUAUUGUGAAGAUGGUGGGUGUCAAUGAAAAUAACUUUCAUAUUCAGAUUUUCUGUGUUCAAGAAAGAGAUCAGAAGGAGCCUAAAGAAAGAAUCAGCAAGAGCAUGGUUUAUUGGUCCUUCCUCCAUGACGGGACACUGAGAUGGAGUUGUCACACAACUUGUGAGAUGCCAUUCAAGAUCACAAAAACAAAUCUAUUUUACAACUCAGCAUCUUUCACAAGAAGACAUUACACCAGUAGAGUUUAUACAAAACAGCAGAGAAAAAAAAUAUUGGAAAACUAAGUAUCAGAAAGUGCCAGAAUUAAGGACACAGUAACCUUAAAUUCUGACCCUUGGAUAUGCAAUUCUUUUACAACUGCAUCUUCUUCUCUAGCAUAUGGAUUUCUUUUUGAUCCAUUGUUCUGCAGUCGUCCAAGCCUUACCUAUGUGUACUUUCCAAACACUGUAGAUAUACCUACCCACUAUGUUGCAUCCAAAAGAUGUUAAUGCUUUUAUUUUAGAGACCAUCAGUAUUGAUCACAAAAACUGCAAUGCCAAAUGAAUCCAACUUUCUCACAUUCCAUUGAGGUAGGGAUGUAUCAUUGGCUACAGCUCAUGGUAGCACUGGGGAACAUAGGCAUAGGCAGAAUAAAGCCAAAGUUACCAGCAGGCCCAGUUUUCAAUGCUGACAGUUUAUAUGGAAUACUUGCCAUUAUUACAGCACUUCACUUGUUCAAAGCAUGGCUUUCAACAGUUGCUAACACCGGCUGCUUCUGCAAAGCAGGCCUCAGAGUACAAGCCCUGGGCUCCAGGCACAGAAAUGUUAUAGCACUGAUGAUCACCUGCAAAGAGCCACAAAUCUUUUGCAAAGAUGGCACAGAACAUGUUUUUGGAAAGCUUUUCACAGUGAGGCCAACCUUUCUUUCCCCCAGAUCCCUUCAGCCUAUAUUGCACUUUUCUUUCCCAGUGCACAGGAACAGCUGUCCAGCAGGGAAGUCACUCCCACUGGUUCCUGUAGUGUAAAAAGUAUACACAGUGCUGCACAAAAUGAGAUGGCAGGGGUGAACUUUACAGGCAGCCAACACUUGUAUGCUUCCCGAAGCUUCUGCGUGUGCCCCUGGACAAGCCUAGGCUACCUCCAGCUUGGCUGGACCUGAGCAAAGAGGAGGGUUCGAAUGCUGGCAGUGCUACGUCUUCCCCAUAUCAUAGAUGGAAGUGCUGCUCUGAAAUUCCCUGGGGCAUGAAUCCUGUCCUUGCUCCCCACCACCCCCUCCUGCCUUUCCAUUCCUCUACUUUGGUGGGAAGCAUUUGUCUCUGUUCACAAGCCCCUUCUCCCACUGUUUCUUUGCCAACAAAACACACUGAAAACAACCAUCAGAUGGGAACACAUGCAGGAACUCAAGGUUAACCAGCAGCUGACAUGGAAGGUAUCUUUUCCUCAAAUGAAUCUGUUCAGAGCAAAUGAUCAAGAUUAAGAAGUGACCAGACACAAAGCCCUUUUACCUGUGAAAGGGACUUGCCCUACAGCGACUAAGUGAUCAGCCUUGCAGCCACAUCUUUAACCAAGAGCUUGGAUGCUGGAGUUGUUGCCCCUUCCCAUUCGACAGUACUGCUUAGUACAGGUUUAAACACUUAAAAGGCAGCAUACAUCCCUGCAAAGAAGGUACAGUGCCCGCAUUCUGAAGAGCUAGUGAUUCCCAUGUGCCUCAUGAAGCAUUUUGAGGUAGCCCGUCAACUAGGGAAAUGAUUACAAAGUCAUUAGCGACAGCUUUAUUGGGGUGGUAUUUGGGUACACUGAUGUUGGGCCAAUGUUUGUACCUCUGGAGAUGGUACAAAAACAAAACACGUUCAACACGCACAAAAAGGCCAGAGCGUAACACCAGUGUAUAGAUUUCCAUAAUACAAGUUAAUGUAAAGACAAGGCCCCUGAGGCUGCUGGCCUACGUUUUGCACGGCGCCUUGGCAUGCAGCAGGAAUAAUCUAAUCACAUUAAUCACAGAAAUGACAAAGCGCCAUCCAAGUUCUGAAACCUCAGUGUAUGCUUUGACAUUUCUAAAAAAACAAUUUUUAUUCAAUGUCACCUACCACUUUCCUUGAAAUUAUUAAAGAAAUUAAGAUGUAAGAAUUCUCUGUUGGAGAAGCCAGAAAUCAAGAUGUAAGAAUUCUCUAGCUUCUCCAUUAAGUGCCAGCAAGAAAAAAUACCUGGUGAUACCUACAAGUAAUUCCCCUGCCAUAUUUAAUUAGGGGAAUGCCAGUGGAAAUGCACUGCUUUGGCCACGCUGCUGCAGCCAAGUUGCAGAUGUCAGAACCUGUCCAAGCUCUCUGUAACUCCUGGCAUCCUAUUUUAUCUUGACGCUUUAAAAUAACAUCAACUUGAAGGAGAUACAGGUGGGGAACCAAGCAUGAGAAUGAGAAAAUAUUAGGAAGAACAACUCCAGCACGAUGUAGCACCAGAAUUAUCGUGUAAAAACUGGUGUCAGCCUAUUAAAGCUUCUCUGGGUUCAGGAAAAACAGAGCGGUGAGAGAUGUGGCUUCAACCUCUUCCAAAUGCCUGAGCCCUGAAGCACCUCAUGCCCUCAAGCCCAGGGUGUUUUCCUGUGAUCCUAUGGAUUUCAGCCAGUUUUAGACAAGGCUGAAUUACCACAGAUGUUCACUGCUGUACAUGCAUAGCCCCAACAGGCCAAGAGAUAAGAAGCUAUGAGCACCUUGGACAAGGAGGGAGAAACUGCAAAGCUUCUCAAGAACUGCAGCCCCAUAUGGGCUGCAUGCCCAUCAAAGAGAGCAAAGCACAGCAGGUAGGUGUUGCUUCUCCACCUGCUCAAAUCUGCUUGGUUUUGCAACCACGCAAUGAAAUUUUCAUAACUCCAGAUGACAAUAACACAACAGUGGGGUCAACAAAAGACAUCACUGUGGGUAGUGUGAAAAACAUACAGGUGACACAGCCACUGCUGAUCAGAGACAAUGCCUUACAGCCCCAUGGAUAGAAAAAACACCAUCAAUUGCCAUGCAUGUAGAGCAUCAUUCCUGAAGACAAGAAGAAUGGCUUCAGCCUGCAGCCUCUUCAGGCUGCUGCCUGUGUGCCUGUCAAGCACGAUGAGGUCUGAGGCUUGAGCACAACAGGGCAGCUACACAAGCAUAUCAGGCUCGUGCCCAGCAAACACCAUGUCUGCAACCGUGCCACUGUCAUCUUUUCCAGGAUUUCUGCUCAAAGCACCCAUGAGGAGGACUAACAUGCAAGUAGCUUGUGGUGCAUUCAGUGUAGCCUUUAUUUCCAGUCUUACUUGGAGAAACUAGGUAUUUCAAAUGCAACCUUUGUCUAAAAGGAAUGGAGGAGCAGGAGGGGGAAGGCAGAUUUUAGGGGUCACAAUAUGUUAAGUCACUAAAAAUAAAGGACAUUUUAAUUUUGGAGGAAACAGCAUAGAAAAUUAAAUUGAAGGUAUACUUUUCUUUAAGAAUUACUUUAAAAUGUAUAUAUAUAUACCAUAUGUACAGCAAAAAGUAUGCAAAAGAACUAAAACCUACUAAUUCACUAAUUUUACAUAGGGUGCAAAGUCUGCACAAUAAAAAUACACACUAAUAAACUCUUUUCUGCUAGAAAAAUUAAUACACGUGGAUAAAAGAGCUGCAAGUCAAGCAAGCAGCAGGCUUCCUGGCCACUACCAGCUGCCUUUCCCACAGGUUUAGGUCACCGGAACAGGCCUUGGGAAAUAAACAGUGUAACCAUUAGACUACAACAUCUUCAGCAGAAAAAAAAUGGAUGCCAAUGAUUGUGGCUAUUCUGAUUUUGGUAAUUGAUUGGGAUUUUUUUUAAUAAAAGACAGGUUUUUUUAAUCCUUACAAUGGCAUAUUUUAUGAAUGUAAAGGUUUGCAGAGUAGAGGGAUUUUAAAACAGCGUGGGAAUGCAACAUGACCCGUGGGGCAGCAUCGGGCUGAUACCUGCAGCUCUUGCUUUACCUGCACUGCGCCUCGAAGUAAAGUUUUCCCUUCUCUUGCCUAUGUUUUCCUUGCAGCCUCACUGAAAACCUAAGAGAUGAAAGUGCUUAAAAGCCAAAAUCUUAAAAGGGCCAUGAUAAGCAGCAGGCAAAGUGCUCUCAGUGAAAUAAUGCGCUUAUCCAAACUGAUAGUAUGAGAAACUGCCUUUUAAGCCCCAUCUUUAGACUGCGUACUUCAGAUAAAUAGAUUAUUUUGUUACGAGCUACUACAGGCUACAAUAUACUCACAUAAAUAUAUCAAUGCCUAGACGUGAAUAUGAAUUUUUAUAUAUUGAGUACAUACAAGAAACACGACAAAGAGCAGAUUGCUGCCACGGCUGCAUCUUUCAGGGUGGAGCCCACCACGCGUGUCCCCAAGACAUGAUUUUUGUCACCUUCAAGCAGUGCCAUGUGGGAAACCUGGCCACAGGAAACCUUCCAGUCCCUUGUUAACGUGCUGCUCUGCUAGUCCUUUGCCAAGAAAGGCAGCUUCUUCACAGCAGGUGGGGGUCAGCUGGCAAAGCCUCCACGACACCUUAUUCUCAAAGCAAGACCUUGAGGGAUGGCACAAGCAUCUGUGCCAACGGAAGGGAAAGCUAAGCACAAGAACUUGGUGUGGCCUUGAAAAUCUUGUUUGUCAGGCUCAGCAACAGCAUUCAGAGCGGACCUAAACUGCCGGAGAGCCACAGCAGGCACUGCCACCAGCUCAGGCUGUUCAGCAGCACUGCAUACUACAUCUCAGUGUCUCGCUUUGACGAGCUCAGAGGAUCUGUACCACCACACCUGUCCAGGAGCUGGGUCAAGAAUGUACAAGAGGUCCAUAUCUGACACGUGCACACAGGAUACAACCUCUUCAAGAUUCAGAUUACAAUGCUGAAGCACCCCCUGCCAGACCAGUGGCAGAAAUAUGCUCCUAUUAUUUACACAAUAUAAAGUGCAUUAGGAUUUUCUUAUUGAACUGACAGACUUCUGUCUGGACCAUACAAUUUUGAAACAGAGUUGAGGACUUUAAUAGGAAUUCUCUCAUGAGAAAAGAGGUUCAGAUUGGUACUCUUCACCCUGUCCUCCUAGAAUUGUUUUUGGCCGUUCUUUCUAGUGCAAAUAAGCUUGUGUUUUCUCAAGUUUAAGGGACAUGGCAGUUUUAGGGCACAGAGAAUGAACAUUUGAAAUGCAUGAGGAACACAGCAUUCUCAAGCAUUGCAACGGGCCCUUCUGCACACAAGCAGCUUACAUUAUUGCUGCUCUCAGAGGUUGAAAAUGCACUGCCAAAAAUAAUGAUGAACCCGUUUCCAAAUCUAACUGGUACAAUUUUGCAUUGCUACAUUUUGAGUUAGUCUGUUUUAUCCUCCCAUGACAAUAUUUGCAAGCACCAGUAGUCUUUAUAUUUCUGUGGAAACCUGUCGCUAGUGGUUUAUCCAUUGGUAGUCGGUUGUGAACUUGAAGAUCCCAUCCAGUUUUGGAUACUAAGGUGCAUCCCACACAGGGAGAGUACAUGCAUUAGUGAAUCCUGUGGAACCAGCCCUGCCACACAGCCAGCACUGGAUUCCUGGCUGCUAUUUACAAUACACUAAUGCAAUCAGAAGGCCAAUUAAUUAACUCAGGAAAAAGAUUUAAAAAAAAUAAAUGGGUUAAACGCACAGAGAUACCAGUCUUACUAAGAUACAGCCAGCUGCAUUUAGACACCCUUUUGUCAAAAUGGCAAGUGAGUAGCAAUAACAAAAGCCAUUUUGCAUCUCAUCUCAUCUUUUUUCUUUUUUUUUUUUUUUUUUAAGCAAAAGACAGGAUUAAUAAACAGGCCUUUUCAAUCACUUUGCCCAUUGCAAGUAUUUUCCUUACUAACACCAAAGGAACAGAAGGAAUGCGUGACCACUUACAACACACACCUAACCUAAGCAAAUUCCAACGUGGCAGCUUUUACGAUGCAUUGACACAGACGUGGGACUGGAAGAUGUCGAGUGCGUAGGGGAGGAGUGCCACACGGGAGCAGGAAGGCGAGCAUAAAAGAGUUGUACAUUCAUAGCUCCAGUUGGUUAGGAUCUGUGAUAAGUUCAUUGUAACUCCAGGCACUGUAAAGGGCAGCAGCAGCCAGCGACGUGCUGACUUGUGCAUCCGGGACUUGCUUGCUAAACUCUUGUUUCACACCAACUGGGACAAGAAGUUAUUGUGAUUGUUUGCUAACCAAACCUGUUACAAACAUUGCGACCAAAAGCCUAGAAGCAAAGAUGAACCAGUACCCCAUAAUGCCUCUAGCUGAUUCAUUGUGGUCUGCUAGCAGUUCAAGUGGUGAAAAUCUCUUACAGACUUGAAAAAGUACCUGAAAGAGCAAUCUGUGCAGAAAUGGAUGGUUUUUGUGACACUAAGCCAAAUGUUUGCUUGCUGUAACUGCUGUAUGUAGUUUUAUGUAAAGGGCAAAUCACCUAAAACAGUGAAAUUAACUUUCUUACUUUCUGUCACAACUGUGACAUUUCCUAAAGAUUCUUUGGUGAUUUUGAUGCAAGCUUUUUUUUUUUCUUUCCUCUUUUUCUUUUUUUUUUUUUCUUUUUUUUAAAGUUAAAACAGAUUGACUGUUAUUAGUACCCAAAGUAAAGCCCAGAUUAUCCUCUCAGUUCCCACCCCUGCCUCCCCAGCUUUCUUGCUACGGUUAAUCAUAACAGGCAAUAGCUUUUGGAUUUAGCG